rnacentral:rRNA from 1 species
AUACGUAGGGGGCGAGCGUUGUCCGGAAUGAUUGGGCGUAAAGGGCGCGUAGGCGGCCCGGUAAGUCUGGAGUGAAAGUCCUGUUUUUAAGAUGGGAAUUGCUUUGGAUACUGUCGGGCUUGAGUGCAGGAGAGGUAAGUGGAAUUCCCAGUGUAGCGGUGAAAUGCGUAGAGAUUGGGAGGAACACCAGUGGCGAAGGCGACUUACUGGACUGUAACUGACGCUGAGGCGCGAAAGUGUGGGGAGCAAACAGGAUUAGAUACCCUGGUAGUCCACACUGUAAACGAUGAAUGCUAGGUGUAGGGGGUAUCGACCCCUUCUGUGCCGCAGUCAACACAAUAAGCAUUCCGCCUGGGGAGUACGUUCGCAAGAAUGAAACUCAAAUGAAUUGACGGGG